rnacentral:misc_RNA from 1 species
UACGUAGGUUGCAAGCGUUGUCCGGUAUUAUUGGGCGUAAAGCGCGCGUAGGCGGUUUUUUAAGUCGGAUGUGAAAGCCCCGGGCUCAACCGUGGAGGGUCAUUGGAAACUGGGAGACUUGAGUACAGCAGAGGAGAGUGGAAUUCCACGUGUAGCGGUGAAAUGCGUAGAUAUGUGGAGGAACACCAGUGGCGAAGGCGACUCUCUGGUCUGUAACUGACGCUGAGGCGCGAAAGCGUGGGGAGCAAACAGG